AAAAAAAUCAUGCGGUAGCUGCUACUAUAAAGUUGUGUUCAAAUUUACUAUGGCUGUUUGUGCUGAAAAGAACUAAGAAAACAGUCAGCUGGACCGAUUUAUAGUUAAGAAUACUAUGCCCUUUCUUAAAUUGGCAAUAGUCAUAAUGACUACACCGCAUGGUAAAACUAACUACCAUGAAAGUACUCAUUUUGUCGUAGCAAUAACCAUGCGCGUUACUGUCAUUGAAAUUGUGGUUUCUUUUCUACUAUGAUCAUGGUUAUCUUAAGCGUUCUGCAUCGGCAAAUUUCAGCUGAUCAUGUUUUGUGUUCGAUUUUACCACAAGCAUGGUAAUUUUGUUCCGAGCUUGAUUUACGAGCUGGCGCCAUGUUGAUUUAUGACAAGUCCACCGAAUUGACUGAAAGUGAUUUUUCUUUCUAAUUUCUUGAAACGGGGUCUAAUUAAAACCCAGUUGAAUAUCAAACGAGAUGAAAUAUUGCAGGUAAGUAUAUUUUAUGUAUAAUUAAGCAAAUAUCUGAUCAUGUUAAAACAUUGUUUUCAGCGCAGGACAUCAUGAGCCACUGGAUCCCAGUCGAAUCAGGUCACCCGGUCUCGGGAGAUUGUUCCGGCAAAUAUUCACUGACCGUUCUUAUAAAGCUACAGGUUGUCGAACCGUGGGUGGAACUACUUGCGUAAGAUUAUGGAACUCUGGUCUGAAUGACACGUAAUCAUUUUCGCACAGCACUUCCAAGAAACUGUAAAUGGUCUUCAUGGAAAAUACCGAUUGUGGCAGUUCUACACUAUCGUUUGUGGUCUGGACUCAUUUGGAAUUCACAUUUCGAUAUUGGAGUACGAAGACGACUGAUCCAUCGAGACGCUAGGUCAAUUACAAUUUUGCUGCGGGAAUGACACUUUUCUCGAUAUGCUGGAUUUGUUCCUCAAAAGGCAACUACCACGCACCAUUGACAACGCGCCG